AUUGAACGCUGGCGGCAGGCUUAACACAUGCAAGUCGAGCGGGGUGAUGGUGCUUGCACUAUCACUUAGCGGCGGACGGGUGAGUAAUGCUUAGGAAUCUGCCUAUUAGUGGGGGACAACAUCUCUAAAGGGAUGCUAAUACCGCAUACGUCCUACGGGAGAAAGCAGGGGAUCACUUGUGACCUUGCGCUAAAAGAUGAGCCUAAGUCGGAUUAGCUAGUUGGUGGGGUAAAGGCCUACCAAGGCGACGAUCUGUAGCGGGUCUGAGAGGAUGAUCCGCCACACUGGGACUGAGACACGGCCCAGACUCCUACGGGAGGCAGCAGUGGGGAAUAUUGGACAAUGGGGGGAACCCUGAUCCAGCCAUGCCGCGUGUGUGAAGAAGGCCUUAUGGUUGUAAAGCACUUUAAGCGAGGAGGAGGCUCUUUUGGUUAAUACCCAAGAUGAGUGGACGUUACUCGCAGAAUAAGCACCGGCUAACUCUGUGCCAGCCGCCGCGGUAA
rnacentral:rRNA from 1 species